GCUCCGGGGAGCUGGCAACGAAGCUUUGAUCCGGAGAUGUCCGAAUGGGGAAACCCACCCUUCGGGGUAUCCUGGCCUGAAUACAUAGGGCCAGAGAAGCGAACCGGGUGAACUGAAACAUCUCAUUAGCUCGAGGAAAAGAAAUCAACCGAGAUUCCCAAAGUAGUGGCGAGCGAAAUGGGACAAGCCUGCACGAUUUAGCAGAACGGUUAAGAGAACGGAUUGGAAACUCCGGCCAUAGAGGGUGAUAGCCCCGUAUUUGAAAACCGAUUUGUGGAACUAGGCGUGCGACAAGUAGGGCGGGACACGUGUAAUCCUGUCUGAAGAUGGGGGGACCAUCCUCCAAGGCUAAAUACUCGUGAUCGACCGAUAGUGAACCAGUACCGUGAGGGAAAGGCGAAAAGAACCCCCGGGAGGG
rnacentral:rRNA from 1 species